rnacentral:rRNA from 1 species
UCCGUAGGUGAACCUGCGGAAGGAUCAUUAUCGUAGGGCUUCGGCCCUGUCGAGAUAGAACCCUUGCCUUUUUGAGUACCUUUCGUUUCCUCGGCAGGCUCGCCUGCCAAUGGGGACCCCAAAAAACACUUUGCAGUACCUGUAACAGUCUGAACAAACAAACAAAAAUUAAAACUUUCAACAACGGAUCUCUUGGUUCUGGCAUCGAUGAAGAACGCAGCGAAAUGCGAUAAGUAGUGUGAAUUGCAGAAUUCAGUGAAUCAUCGAAUCUUUGAACGCACAUUGCGCCCUCUGGUAUUCCGGGGGGCAUGCCUGUUCGAGCGUCAUUGCAAACCCCUCAAGCACAGCUUGUGUGUUGGGCCAUCGUCCCUCUGUGGACGGGCCUGAAAUGCAGUGGCAGCACCGAGUCCUGGUGUCUGAGUGUAUGGGAUUUUCUAUCACUCAAAGACCCAAUCGGCGCUGAUGUCAGAUUUUUAUCCAGUUUGACCUCGGAUCAGGUAGGAGUACCCGCUGAACUUAA